UACGAAGGGGGCUAGCGUUGCUCGGAAUCACGUGGGCGUAAAGGGUGCGUAGGCGGAUUUCUAAGUCAGGGGUGAAAGCCUGAGGCUCAACCUCAGAACGUGCCUUUGAUACUGGAAGUCUUGAGACCGGAAGAGGUAAGGUGGAACUGCGAGUGAGAGGUGAAAUUCGUAGAUAUUCGCAAGAACACCAGUGGCGAAGGCGGCUUACUGGGUCCGGUUCUGACGCUGAGGCACGAAAGCGUGGGGAGGCAAACAGG
rnacentral:rRNA from 1 species